rnacentral:rRNA from 1 species
AUUGAACGCUGGCGGCAUGCCUUACACAUGCAAGUCGAACGGUAACAGGUCUUCGGAUGCUGACGAGUGGCGAACGGGUGAGUAAUACAUCGGAACGUGUCCAGACGUGGGGGAUAACGAGGCGAAAGCUUUGCUAAUACCGCAUACGAUCUAAGGAUGAAAGCAGGGGACCGCAAGGCCUUGUGCGUUUGGAGCGGCCGAUGGCAGAUUAGGUAGUUGGUGGGAUAAAAGCUUACCAAGCCGACGAUCUGUAGCUGGCCUGAGAGGACGACCAGCCACACUGGGACUGAGACACGGCCCAGACUCCUACGGGAGGCAGCAGUGGGGAAUUUUGGACAAUGGGCGAAAGCCUGAUCCAGCAAUGCCGCGUGCAGGAUGAAGGCCUUCGGGUUGUAAACUGCUUUUGUACGGAACGAAAAGGCUCUGGCUAAUACCUGGGGCACAUGACGGUACCGUAAGAAUAAGCACCGGCUAACUACGUG